AUUUAGAAAGAUUAUAUUUUAUAUAAAUAAAUAUCUAAAUUUAAGUAUAUCAUUUACAAUGAUAAGAUGUUGUUAAACUUUAUUUAAAUUAAAGUUAUUAAUAUUUUUAUUUUUCAUUGAUUUUUUAUAAAAGUAAUUUAUUUAUUUAAGGUUUUAGUAUUAAUUAAAAAUUAAUUUAUAGAUUUAUAGUUUAAUAGUAUUGUAAAAGAAUUAAUUAAAUUUUAAAAAGAAUAUUUUUAGUACCUUUUGUAUCAGGGUUAAUUAAAAUUUUUAAUUUUUUUUUAAUUUCUCAAAAUUUAUAGAGUUAAUUUUAUUAUUAAUUUAUUGUGUUAUAAAUAUUUAUAAAAUAAUAUUAGUUUUGAAAUUUAAUUCGUUAUAUUAUAUUUAGUUAUUUAAGAUUUAAAUUUAAUUUAAAAUUUUAAAAGUUAUUUUGAUUUUAUAUAUUAAUAUUUUAAAUUUAAAUUAUUUUAGGGAUAAGCUUAGAAUUUUUAUAUAAUAAUUUAUUUAUUUUAAUAAUUUAUAGGAAUAGAAAUUUUUAUUUUAAGUUUGUAAAAAUUUAUUAUUUAUUUAUUUUUAAUUUAUUAUAAAUUUAUUUAUUUUUUUUAUUAAAUUUUAUUAAUUAAUAUUUAAUUUUUAGUAAUAAUGAUUAAAUUAGUAUAAUUUAAAUUUAUAAGUUAUGAAUUCGGCAAAAAUUAUUUUCAUCUGUUUAACAAAAACAUUGUAUUAAGUUUAGUUUAAUAUAGGAUCUGCUCAAUGAUUUAUUAAAUAGCUGCAGUAUUUUGACUGUGCAAAGGUAGCAUAAUAAUUAGUCUUUUAAUUGAGGACUUGUAUGAAAGAUUUGAUGAGAAAUAAACUUUAUUAUUUAUAUAAUUAAAAUUUUAUUUUUAAGUAAAAAAGCUUAAAUUAUUUAAAGGGACGAUAAGACCCUAUAAAACUUUAUAAAUAUUAAUUUUAAUUUUUUUGGAUUUAUAAAUAUUUUAAUUUUAUUAUUUAUUUUAUUGGGGUGAUAAAAAAAAAUAUUAAACUUUUUUUAAAAUUUUACAUUAUUUAAUGAAUAUUUGAAUUAAAAUUUUUAAUUAAAGGAAAAAGUUACUUUAGGGAUAACAGCGUAAUUAAUUUUUUAAGUUCAAAUUUAAAAAUUAGUUUGCGACCUCGAUGUUGAAUUAAGAUUAAUCUUAGGUGCAAAAUUUUAAGUAUUAGGUCUG
rnacentral:rRNA from 1 species